rnacentral:rRNA from 1 species
UUGGAGGGCAAGUCUGGUGCCAGCAGCCGCGGUAAUUCCAGCUCCAAUAGCGUAUAUUAAAGUUGUUGCAGUUAAAAAGCUCGUAGUUGAAUUUCGGGAUCAAAUUGUCGGUCGUGCCUCGGUACGAACUGGUAUUAUUGGUUCCUACCUUCUGAAGAACCGCGAUGUCAUUAAUUUGGUGUCGUGGGGAAUCAGGACUGUUACUUUGAAAAAAUUAGAGUGUUUAAAGCAGGCUUACGCUUGAAUACAUUAGCAUGGAAUAAUGAAAUAGGACGUUUGGUUCUAUUUUGUUGGUUUCUAGGAUUGACGUAAUGAUUAAUAGGGAUAGUUGGGGGCAUUAGUAUUCAAUUGUCAGAGGUGAAAUUCUUGGAUUUAUUGAAGACUAACUACUGCGAAAGCAUUUGCCAAGGAUGUUUUCAUUAAUCAAGAACGAAAGUUAGGGGAUCGAAGACGAUCAGAUACCGUCGUAGUCUUAACCAUAAACUAUGCCGACUAGGGAUCGGAUGAUGUUAAUUUUUUAAUGACUCAUUCGGCGCCUUACGGGAAACCAAAGUGUUUGGGUUC